UACGUAGGGGGCAAGCGUUGUCCGGAUUUAUUGGGCGUAAAGAGCGUGUAGGCGGCUAGGUAGGUCCGUUGUGAAAACUCGAGGCUCAACCUCGAGACGUCGAUGGAAACCAUCUGGCUAGAGUCCGGAAGAGGAGAGUGGAAUUCCUGGUGUAGCGGUGAAAUGCGCAGAUAUCAGGAAGAACACCUAUGGCGAAGGCAGCUCUCUGGGACGGUACUGACGCUGAGACGCGAAAGCGUGGGGAGCGAACAGG
rnacentral:rRNA from 1 species